rnacentral:rRNA from 1 species
UACGUAGGGGGCAAGCGUUGUCCGGAAUCAUUGGGCGUAAAGCGCGUGUAGGCGGUCCGGUAAGUCCGCUGUGAAAGUCGGGGGCUCAACCCUCGGAUGCCGGUGGAUACUGUCGGGCUUGAGUACGGAAGAGGCGAGUGGAAUUCCUGGUGUAGCGGUGAAAUGCGCAGAAAUCAGGAGGAACACCGGUGGCGAAGGCGGGUCUCUGGGCCGAUACUGACGCUGAGGAGCGAAAGCGUGGGGAGCAAACAGG